rnacentral:lncRNA from 1 species
UCGCUCACCUAAUCCCUAUCCUUACGAUUGUAUUGAAAAUAUUUUUGAUCACCUUGUCGACGACGAUAUUGUCUAUUGUGGGACACUUUAGAAUUAUUAACAUCAAUUGAAUGAGGGAUUUGCUUAAAAUUUUUCAGAUUAGCAACUAGAUCUCUGCUCUUUUCACGAGUAGCAACCAUCUCGGUUUGGAAAGCUGCUAAUUGAGUUUGUAAGCGUUGCUGGCUAGUGACAAGUUGAGCUAAUUGUCUAGUGAGUGUCUCAAAUUGUGAAGAGUCCAUGUCUAAGUACUGAAACGAGGAGUGAUAAGACGACCAAUCGACCACUAUGCAUGCACUAUAUUAGCAGCUAAAUGACGUGUAAUAGAGAGAUCAAUGAACAAUAAGUGCAAGCAAUGGAAAUUAACAGCUUGAACCAUUUUUUUUUUUUAAUUUUCAAUUUUGGGAUUAAAUAAAUCCAAAGCAAGCUAAUACUGCUGGUACAUGUAAAAUAGCAAAGUAAUGGUCAAACACUAGUCAAAAUCUCCAAUCACGU